CAUCAGUACACAGUGUUCUGCUUGUUUGUCGAUGCCUUUCUUGACCUCCUUCUGCAUAUGUGGACUUCUGCUCACCUUCUGGUUUUUCUUCACCAAACAACCUGCCAUCCAGCCUUGACUUCUGUCCUGCUGCAAACACAGAUGUUGGUAAAAGAAGCUGCAGCUGUUCAGAGGAAUUGUGUUGUGAUGCUACCCCCUAGUGGCCAACAGUGUUGUUGGCGGCGUCUGGAUCCCUCGCCGACACCGUCUUCACCACCGUCCCGACCUCGGCGUCUUCUGGCAGCUCGAUCAAGUAGGCCGGCGAGUCGAACAGCGGGGGCUCGUCCACGUCCUCCACGCUCACGUGCACGAUGGUGACAUCCUUGAACGGUCCACGGUGGCGGAAGGUCGGGUCCAGGACCGUUCGGCCGUGACGCCUCCAGGCGAGUUUGCUCCCCACAUGCCCCCACUGUGACACUUCCCAUCUUUAAAGUGCAGCUGUGACGGCACAUUUGUUCAACAUGGCAACGAGGAUUUCCCCCCCCCACAACCCUCCAACUCCAGGCAAACUGAGAGACGUCUGUACACAGAUCAUGCUGUCUGUUUGUUUGCGUUUGCAUAUAUGAAUUUAUGAUCAUAUAUCUUUAUGUUUUCUCCUUGCCAAGCUCUUGUUUAUCCUACAGAUACAAGAGGAUUUGAAUCUUCCAAUAGCUACGGAGUGAGCAGAAGAUGCAGCAGAUAAAAGUGACGCUCACUUGUUGGAAUCUUGCUUUUUUUAUUUUUUUACCCCCCAUCUCCCCGGAUCCUGGAUUAACAUGUUUGCCAGUGUUUAGUUAAAGAUUCCCCAACGCCUCGGCUGCUAAAUGUGCUCAGGGCUGCGAAUCCAUUAGCGGCUAUCACCCCAAUCACACCAGGAAAAGAGAGGCAAUCUCCUGGGCG